UUUUCCUCUUGUGUUGGCUGGUUCAUCUUGUGCCAGAGACAGUUACUGACUUGCUGCUUUGUAUUCCAGUCUUGCCCUUUUAUUUGCUGUGAUUGUGUAUCCUUGCUAUAGUUUUUGCUCUUGAUUUCUCAUUUUUGUUUUGUUCUUCAGUUGUCUUGCUUAUAUUUGUAAUGUUUUCUUUAGUUGUUCAUCAGUCUUGUUUCUAGUUUUGUAUUCUUGUUACUGCUUGGAUUUGAUACUGUUAGUCUAAACUCAGAUAUUUCCUUUACUUAUUUGUUUAAAUUGGUGUUGUUUUGUGGUCUUGAGUGGUGUUUUGUUGUGUUCUUGUGUGUUUGUGCUGUGUGUUCCCUCCAGCCUGAUGCUUGUUUCAUACAUACUGUACGCCGUUUGCAGUGCGUAUGCAGUCCAUGUGCUUUACGUAUGUGGUGCAGAAGCAGCACGGACUCAUUUUGCUUUCACACAAACAACAUUUAUCUGUUAUUUUGAUUUCAAAUCCGAAUGUUGUUGCUGAAAAUGCUUUUUCAGCAUUGUGAUCCUCCUGUGACUCUGCGGUGAGUAUAGGAGAACGCUGGAGACUCAGCAGUGAGUAUAGAAGAUCGCUUGAGACAGCGGUGAGUAUAGGAGAUCUCUGGAGACUUAAAGGAGAGUAUAGGAGAUCGCUGGAGACUCAGCGGUGAGUAUAGGAGAUCGCUGGAGACUCAGCGGUGAGUAUAGGAGAUCGCUGGAGACUCAGCGGUGAGUAUAGGAGAACGCUGGAGACUCAGCGGUGAGUAUAGGAGAUCGCUGGAGAUCGCUGGAGACACAACGGUGAGAAUAGGAGAUCGCUGGAGACACAGCGGUGAGUAUAGGAGAUCGCUGGAGACUCAGCGGUGAGUAUAGGAGAUCGCUGGAGACAGCGCGGUGAGUAUAGGAUAUCGCUGGAGACACAGCGGUGAGUAUAGGAGAUCGCUGGAGACACAGCGGUGAGUAUAGAAGAUCUCUGGAGACAGCGGUGUGAGUAUAGAGAUCUCUGGAGACUCAGCGGUGAGUAUAGGAGAUCUCUGGAGACAGCGGUGUGAGUAUAGGAGAUCUCUGGAGACAGCGGUGUGAGUAUAGGAGAUCUCUGGAGACAGCGGUGUGAGUAUAGGAGAUCUCUGGAGACUCAGCGGUGAGUAUAGGAGAUCUCUGGAGACAGCGGUGUGAGUAUAGGAGAUCUCUGGAGACUCAGCGGUGAGUAUAGGAGAUCUCUGGAGAUUCACCAGUGAGUAUAGGAGAUCUCUGGAGACAGCGGUGAGUAUAGGAGAUCUCUGGAGACCGCAGUGAGUAUAGAAGAUCGCUGGAGACUCAAAGGAGAUCGCUGGAGACUCAGAGGUAAGUAUAAGAGAUCACUGGAGACUUAGGCUGCAUUUACACUGCAGGUCUUGAUACCCAAAUCCGAUUUUCUGACUAUAUCCGAUUUUUUUGACGACCUGCUUACAUCAUCUUUUAAAAGUGACCCGUAUCCGAUUUUUGCAUUUACACUAUACACUGC
ensembl:lncRNA